rnacentral:rRNA from 1 species
UACGUAGGGUGCAAGCGUUGUCCGGAAUUAUUGGGCGUAAAGAGCUCGUAGGCGGUUCGUCGCGUCGGCUGUGAAAUCCCGAGGCUCAACCUCGGGUCUGCAGUCGAUACGGGCGGACUGGAGUUCGGCAGGGGAGACUGGAAUUCCUGGUGUAGCGGUGAAAUGCGCAGAUAUCAAGUGGAACACCAGUGGCGAAGGCGAAUCCCUGGAAAAUACCUGACACUGAGGCACGAAAGCUAGGGGAGCAAACAGG